AUUGAACGCUGGCGGCAUGCUUUACACAUGCAAGUCGAACGGUAACAGGGUGCUUGCACCGCUGACGAGUGGCGAACGGGUGAGUAAUGCGUCGGAACGUGCCGAGUAGAGGGGGAUAACGCAGCGAAAGUUGUGCUAAUACCGCAUACGUACUGAGGUAGAAAGUGGGGGACCUUCGGGCCUCACGCUAUUCGAGCGGCCGACGUCUGAUUAGCUAGUAGGUGAGGUAAAGGCUCACCUAGGCGACGAUCAGUAGCGGGUCUGAGGGGAUGAUCCGCCACACUGGGACUGAGACACGGCCCAGACUCCUACGGGAGGCAGCAGUGGGGAAUUUUGGACAAUGGGCGAAAGCCUGAUCCAGCCAUGCCGCGUGUCUGAAGAAGGCCUUCGGGUUGUAAAGGACUUUUGUCGGGGAGGAAAUCCCCAGCGUUAAUACCGCUGGGGGAUGACAGUACCUGAAGAAUAAGCACCGGCUAACUACGUGCCAGCCGCCGCGGUAAAAC
rnacentral:rRNA from 1 species